rnacentral:sRNA from 1 species
CCCAGGUCCCCUAGGUUAGUCUGAUGAUGUCAUGGCGGUAACCAAGGCGACACACUGUGACAUCACACCUCAAAGAAUACCCCUGACCUUGGCCUGGAAUUCAAAGGAAAAUCAGCCCAUAAACUUCUAAAGCUAGCAGGAGAUAAAUAUCCUUAGUCAUAAAAGAACAAACGAUGUUUGGGGUGAGGGGCCUUGUGGGGAAGCAUACUGUAAAAGUCCGUGCCAGAUUUUUCAGGAAGUGCCAGCGGCCAUUAAAUCAGAAAGGGAGAGAGCAACGGGGCCAGAGAGCUUGCCCACUGUCUUAGCACUGAUCUCAGCACCCACUAGGGAUGCCUGACAGAUCACACCCAGCCAACAGAACACGUGUCUGGGGAAGCCUGGAUCCCUCUGUGCGGAGGAACAAAUCAGGAGUCUUGGGGAUGAAGGAGCGAUGUCUGCCCAAGGUGUGGUUUGAAAGGAUGGGCAGGCAUCUACCAUUCCAGGUCCAUUCCUGAGCGGAUUCUGGAUCUCCUGCCUGGUUAUAUGAUUCACAUACAUAACCCUGAAUCAGCGCACCCAUUGUGUGCCCCUGACAUUUGGGAGAAGAGGACAACACGCUCACGCUGUGCUCUGGGCUUCGAGGACAGUGGUGGCCUUAGAGAACCUACCUACAAGGGAGGAACAGGCAGAACUGACCUCUGAAGGAAGUGGCAUCGAUGCUUCUAAAAGGAUGAGUAUUACCUUGGGAGGGUGUCAGGCAGGAUGAGGAUGGAAUUUCGCUGGGUUUGGAUCAGACAUUUGCCUUGUGAAAUCUGACAAGUCUGGGAGGGUAAUGGGGGAACUGCUAAGGGAUUUUAUGCAAGGGAGCGCCAUUAUCAACAAAAACAAUCCUUUUGAAAGCCUGGGAUGGUCGUGCACACCCGUGGUUCCUGCUCUUGGGAAGAUAGGGGAGGGUUGGAAUUUCAAGGCCAGCGUUGACUACCUAGCAAGUCUGAGGCUAGCCUGAGCUAGAGAAGCCAUCUCAAGCCAACAUGGCGGCUAAGAAUGGAUCUUGGUCGGUAGAGGCAUGCAUGGGGCCUGAUGCCAGGGAUACGGGUUUGAUUCUCAACAGUAGAUAAAUUACACGUCUAAUCCCAGUCUUUGGGAGGUCGAGGCGGGGGUAUCAAGGGUACAAGGUCAUUUUUUUUGGCUACAUAAGUGAAUGUUGUCAAGAAAAGAAAAAGAAAAAGACAGACAGACCCAUUUAACUGAGGAAAGGGUGAGGUAGGGAGAGAGGAAUGGAUUCAACCAGGCACAGCGAGUCUGCAACAAAACCGAGAUUUGAACUAGGGUCUCCAGAAUCUAGUACUGGGUAGAAUAUGUGUGCUUUGGAAGCAUGAACACUGAGAAUGGGCCUUAAUAGAGGACUCUGUAGCGAGUGGUGUGGAGAGGAUGUCCCAGUGUAUUUAUGUGGGCUAAGAUUCAAUGACUGGUCCCCUUAGAAGAAGAGGGUAGGCAAGAUUGCUCAGCAGGUAAAAGAGCUUUCAUCACACCUGAGGACCAUUCCACAAGUUGUCUUCUGAGCAUCCUAUGCACAUGAUAGUGUGUAAUCUCAGAAUAAAUAAGAAAGCCAGGAGCACUAACGCACACCUUCGAUCCCCACAGUUGGGAGGCAUAGGCAGGCCGAUCUUUGAAUUCAAGGAUACCUUGGUCUACAGAUGGGGUUCCAGGACACUCUGUCUUAGCGGGGAAAAAGCCAGUGAGAAGAAAUCACAGAGACACACAGACAGAAGUUCCUGUGAACACAGAGGUGGGGAAUCACAGUCACCACGGACAAAGCAACGCUCAGGGUAACCAGCAAGCCUCAGUACCUAGGUUCUUUUGCCCUGGAGCAGGUAAAAUGGAACCAAGUUUUCAAGCCAUGUAGCAGAGCUCUGUGAUCCCAGCAUGUGGAAGGGCUGGAGUGGAAAGGGGUUUGCAGAGAGGGGGAGAGGGCUCGGUACCAAGAGAGAGUUCCUGGGAGCUGGGGUGACUAUGGAGAAUGACUUCCGCAGUCACUUUGGCCUAGUUUCCUGAGAGAGUGCGUCAGUUCUCAGGGCUGUCCAGACAGAAGGCAAGCCUUUGUUCUUCCUGAUGACCUUUGAGGAUGACAAGGAUGCUAGUGCUCCGUGAACUCAUUUGAACAGCAGAGCCCGGCCCUGGAGGAGCAGGGACAUGGUGGCAGUAACAGCAACACGAACGUCACAACGACCUCAAGAACAAAUAUGUCACCUUCUACUUCCAGGCAUUUUAACAGAGCCAUCAUGAUCCCCCACUUAUGAGAGGGUCCCUGGGAUCAAAGACAUGCACCACCACCACCCUGCAGUUGGUUGGUUUUAAGAUAGAGUCCUUGCCUUGCGGUUGAGGCACUGACAAGGGGACCAGGGAUCCAGACUAUUAACAGAAGUCUCUGAACUCCGUCAUCAGAAGACAAAUGAGCCAAUUAAAACCUGGGCAGAAGAUUUCUUUAAUGAACACUCCGCAGAGCUAUUCGAAGCAGUUAGUGCACAGUUCCAGUCGUCAUUAGAACAAUAAAACUACAUCUUUCAUCCCAGUCCUCAGAGGGCAGAGUCGGCUGAAAUUUGCCUGUCUGGUCUGCAUGGUGAUUUCCGGGCCAGCUAUAGCUACAUAGUGAGAUCCUGUCUCAGAGAAGAAGGGGAAGUGGUGAAGGGAGAGGGACAUGGCCACGGAAUGUGUGUGUGUACAUCUAUUAUCCAAGUACUUAGGAGGCAAGGACGGACAGACAGAUGGAGUGUUUAAGACCAGCCUGUGCUACACAGCUGGUGACACUUUGGAAACAACAGAGGAUGUUGCAAGCCCAGCACAGUAGCUACAAUGUAAAUGACAGACAGCUGGAGGGUUGACAAGGUCCACAGGGCAACUGCAACAUUCCAGGUGUUGGUGGGACCUGAGAAGGAAUUUAUACCUCAAAACGAUUGCUUUUGAAAAAGAAAUAGGUCUGCAAACAGUAAGUUAUUAAGUCAAGUCCAGCCUGAGGGUGGUGUGUGCCUGCAAUCCCAGCUUUCCAGAGUCAUCCCCAACCUUGGCUGUGUAUCAGUUUCCAGGUCAGCUUGGACUACAUUAAGACCUUGUUUCAAAAUAAAACAAAAGUAGAGGGUAAGGGGGGUUGGGCAAGAUGGCUCAGUGAGUACAAGCUCCGCCGCUGCCAAGUUCAUGACUUGAGUUUGGUCUCCAGGUACCCACAUGGUAGAAGGAGAGAACUGAGUCCCUCACUUUGACCUCCUGACCUUAGUAGGAGUACUGUGACACACACUCACACUCAACCAUAUAUUCUCAAGAAUGUGAAUGUGCCCCCCCAAUAAACAAAUAUUAAAACAUUCUAUCUUUUCUCAAAGCUUGACUCAAGCACUUGCUGGAGGAUAUGGCCUUUAGUUCCUACCGACGCAGUUUUACACUCUCUUGCUGGCCAAAGGAAGACAUGUUAGUGUUUCUUCUAGGCUCCGCCCAUCAGUUACCUAGCAACAGCCAGGCUGCUUGGGAAAAGCAACAGUCCUGGACGCAGCAAACACAUUGUCUUCUCUUCUCUGGCCAAGAGAAAUCUUAAUCACCCUGUGGAGUAAUGGGCUCAGAAUAAUAGAAGCUUAAAAUACUUGGAUAAACACAGCCCACGGAGGGAGAAGAAGCACACUGGAGGCUACCUCAUCCUUCCCACAACCAGAGGGAGAGAGAGAUGUUCUAGCUCAGGAGUGGUGAUAAAUGACUGUGAUGCGUAUGUGUUCCAAACCAAAGCCUGCCCCGCCCCCACUUUGGAGGGGGUGUUGGCCAUCCUGAGGUGCUCCAGCUGGGUACCCCCUCCCCCAUUUUAAACCCAUCACAGAGUGAGGCGAAGCAGAUUUGAUGCAACUGACUUCUGAGUCUUUGGAAACAGAGAGUCUUUUGAUCUUUAUCAGCAUGAUGACCUGAACCCUGAACCCAGGACUGCUAACAUGGAGGGCAAGGUCAACACACUGAGCCACACCCUCAGCCCUUUCCGGUGUUAAA